rnacentral:rRNA from 1 species
UGGGGAAUUGUUCGCAAUGGGCGCAAGCCUGACGACGCAACGCCGCGUGGGGGAUGAAGGUCUUCGGAUUGUAAACCCCUGUUGGGUGGGACGAACACUUCCAUGGUGAACAGCCAUGGAGACUGACGGUACCACCUGAGGAAGCCCCGGCUAACUCUGUGCCAGCAGCCGCGGUAAUACAGAGGGGGCAAGCGUUGUUCGGAAUUACUGGGCGUAAAGGGCGCGUAGGCGGCCUGUUAAGUCAGACGUGAAAUCCCUCGGCUCAACCGGGGAACUGCGUCUGAUACUGGCGGGCUUGAAUUCGGGAGAGGGAUGUGGAAUUCCAGGUGUAGCGGUGAAAUGCGUAGAUAUCUGGAGGAACACCGGUGGCGAAGGCGGGUCUCUGGGCCGAUACUGACGCUGAGGAGCGAAAGCAUGGGGAGCGAA